GUUGGGUCAGCAUGUAGAACAUCAUAUGUGGUUAUAUUAUUCCUGCAAAGUAGGGGCAGCUGGAGAGUAGGGUAGGGGGAGUGGAAAACAUAAUGGAGCAUCUAGACCUAAGAAAAAUCUCUGGGGGGGAGAGGCAAACCAAGGUGUGGGGGGGAAUGCCCCCCUUAACCCAUAGCAAAUGAUGCCCCUGUGUUUCUCAGAAAACCAUUUAUACUGAGUAGAAGACUCCUAUCCCCAGAGCUGCGUGGUGGAGGUAUUGGAGAAUGAUGUAAUUUCCAGAAAACUUCAAGUAGUCCCAGCUAAACUUUUCUUGAUGCACUUUUGUGAAAACAUUGCUCAAUAUCGUGCUCGGAGUGUACACAGGACAGCUGCCUGAUUCUGAAGGUCAUGGCCCUGCAUGCGUGAGAAAACCCUGGAGGCUGCUGCAUCUUAUGCCACUGGGCUAUGGCCCCUAAAGGAUCAUACACCAUGGAGAAUUGUCAGAGAAUUACUAUUAUAUUAUAGUAGCACCAAGAGACCCAACUAAGAUCAGUGCUCCAUUGCACUAGUCACUGUACAAAGCCAUCAUGAGAGACAGUCGUUGCCCCAGAGAGCU